GUGUCAGCCGCCGCGGUAAUACGAAGGGGGCUAGCGUUACUCGGAUUUACUGGGCGUAAAGAGCGCGUAGGCGGUUUGUUAAGUUGGAAGUGAAAGCCCGGGGCUUAACCUCGGAAUUGCUUUCAAAACUGGCAUACUAGAGUUCGGUAGAGGGUGGUGGAAUUUCCAGUGUAGUAGUGAAAUAUGUAGAUAUUGGAAGGAACGCCGGUGGCGAAGGCAGCCCCCUGGGAUAACACUGACGCUCAUGCACGAAAGCGUGGGGAGCAAACAGGAUUAGAUACCCCAGUAGUCC
rnacentral:rRNA from 1 species